CGGAAUGGGGGUGCAGGCGGUGGCGAUAAGUCGGAGGUGGGUGGCUGGGUCCUGGUUUACUGGGGGUAAAUGGGGCGUAGGCGGCCAGGCGCGUGCCGGGUUAAAGCUCCGAGCUGAAGUCGGAGAGGUUCCUGAAAACGGGCUGGCUUGGGCGUCGGAGUGUGGCAUGGAACGCCGGGUGGAGCGGUGAAAUGCGGAGAUAUCCGGAAGAACACCAAUGGCGAAGGCAGUGCCCUGGCCUACUGCUGACGCUCAGGCGCGAAAGCGUGGGGAGCAAACAGGAUUAGAUACCCGUGUAGUC
rnacentral:rRNA from 1 species